UACUUCCUGGGAUCACAUAAGGAGAGUUUCCAGUACUCUACCAGUCUUGACUAUGGGAGGGAGAGUCAAGCAGAGGCAUAUUUAUUAAAUUCCUAGCUUGGGCAGUGGCUAGUGAGUGGAAGACAAUCUGCUACAAGU